rnacentral:rRNA from 1 species
AGUGAACGCUGGCGGCGUGCCUAAUACAUGCAAGUCGAACGCGAAAGUCCUUCGGGAUGAGUAAAGUGGCGCACGGGUGAGUAAUACAUGGGAACAUGCCCUUGGAUGGGGAAUAACGUUUGGAAACGAACGCUAAUACCGCAUAAUCUCGCGAGAGUAAAGGUGGCGCAGCAAGGGAUACCGCCCAAGGAUUGGUCAAUGUCCCAUUAGCUAGUUGGCGGGGUAAUGGCCCACCAAGGCAACGAUGGGUAACUGGUCUGAGAGGAUGAUCAGCCACACUGGGACUUAGACACGGCCCAGACUCCUACGGGAGGCAGCAGUGGGGAAUAUUGGACAAUGGGCGAAAGCCUGAUCCAGCCAUGCCGCGUGUGUGAAGAAGGUCUUCGGAUUGUAAAGCACUUUAAGUUGGGAGGAAGGGCAGUAAGUUAAUACCUUGCUGUUUUGACGUUACCGACAGAAUAAGCACCGGCUAACUCUGUGCCAGCCGCCGCGGUAAGAC